rnacentral:rRNA from 1 species
UACGGGGGAUGCGAGCGUUGUCCGGAAUUAUUGGGCGUAAAGAGCUCGUAGGCGGCUUGUCACGUCGGGUGUGAAAGCCCGGGGCUUAACCCCGGGUCUGCAUUCGAUACGGGCUAGCUAGAGUGUGGUAGGGGAGAUCGGAAUUCCUGGUGUAGCGGUGAAAUGCGCAGAUAUCAGGAGGAACACCGGUGGCGAAGGCGGAUCUCUGGGCCAUUACUGACGCUGAGGAGCGAAAGCGUGGGGAGCGAACAGG